rnacentral:tRNA from 1 species
ACGCCGGUAGCUCAGUGGAUAGAGCAUCGGAUUUCUAAUCCGACGGUCGUGGGUUCGAGUCCCGCCCGGCGUA